rfam:Neotoma lepida isolate 417 scaffold_14511, whole genome shotgun sequence.
AAAGAGGUUCUUUUAAGAACCAACAAAAAAGUAAUGACAUUUCAG